GACUGACUACCACCUUUUUGUAUACGGCGCUAUUGACAAAGUUCAGUGGGAAAAAGUUGUGGUGGACUACUUUCAGGAGGACAAUCGUGCUGAUUCUCUCUGACUUAAACAGACGAUGAGGAAAUCCCUGAUUUAGAUAAAAGCAUUUAAAUUGAAGAAGACAUUGUAGAGUCUGACAGUGAUGAGGAAGAAGAAAUGGCACUUGACAGGGGUCAACAUCCCACAAGCUGGUGGAAAGCUGGUGGCAACAACAACCGACUCUGAACUUCAGGCUGCUGACACAGAUCAAGCAGUACCAGCACUUCAGAUGGUCUGCCUGUACAAGCACCACCUGGACUGGACACAGCUAAACAAAUCUUUUUGGGAAUAUCAGGGACUUUUGCAACGAACAGGCUAUGGGCAUUGUGAGGUAUACUUAUUUUCCACCAUUUGCAAAUAAAUUCA